CUGAUGGUACAAGUGUACUCUGAACCACUUCAGUCUUCACCAUGACAGCCCUGAGCCCAGCUGACUGAGAGGCGGCAUUUUGAUCUUCCUCGCCUACCUCUUAUAGAGAGCUGAACCAAGUGAUGUGAGAAGUUUGCUGUGAUGGACAGUUUGUGGGUGCCUUGCCAACAGUCUGGAGUACCUGGUGACAUGUCAACUCCAGCUGUGAUCCUCAUUAAGCCAUGUGGCACCAGCUUAUAGAAAAGGCAACCCAACAAAUGAUGCCAGCAUGCUGAGGGGUAGAACCAACCCUUUGUCCUCGCUGUGACAUCUCAGAGCUCUGCUGAUGGUGAGGAGACUUCCUGAUCUUCCCUGGCAACCAGCUUUUAGGAAGGUGACUUUAGCGAUGGUAGAGGUAUGCAGUGAUGGACAGUUCCUGGGAUGCCAGGGCAACAGUCCAGCACCCGUGGAGACUUGUCAACUCCAGCUCUGUUCCUCCUGUGGGCACCUGCAUAUAGAAAGGCUGACCUCAUGGAUUAUUACCACCCCCUCUCUGCAUAUCCCAAAUCAACGUCUCUGUCUCCUGUGGCGGUGGUUCAGGGUCUUGACAGGUAUGGGUUAUUGUUGUAGAAUUUACAUAUACAUCGACUGUAAAACUAAGUCAGUAAAGUGGACUAUCUUUGAUAAGAUUCAUUGUAACAUUUACCCUAAGUUCAUCGAAAUGGCCAGUACACCCAGUUUUGUAGAGUGAGUUUCUGCUUGCGUGUCCUGUGAAUUGUCGAAUUUUUUUCUUACUAACAGGACUUCUCAUUGUGUCUUUCCUUUUUUUUCUCCUGCUUUUCCUUUUCCACAAUGGCUGAUUGACUGAUGUCACCGCAAAAGUUUCCUGUUAUAGAGAGUUUCUCUGAUGUCACUUCAACACAACUACAACUGGUGUUCACUCUAGUUUCACAUUUUGGGCAGAUCAUGUUAAAGCCCCAUGGUCAUAUUAUGUAGUUCUUGUGUUUCUGGCAUGUGUAAGAUCAAUCAUACAACAAUAGUUUUAACUUCAAAAUUGAAGCUAAGCACAGUCCAGCUGCCACGUAGGUUUUCAUUUUCUUUUCUAUUUCAUAUUAAGCUUAUCAUCUCCAUU